CACGUAGGUUCCGAGCGUUAUCCGGAUUUACUGGGCGUAAAGCGCGUUCAGGCGGUUUGGCAAGUCGGGCAUGAAAUCUCUCGGCUCAACCGGGAGAGGUUGUCCGAUACUGCUGGACUUGAGGGCAGUAGAGGGUGGUGGAAUUCCGGGUGUAGUGGUGAAAUGCGUAGAUAUCCGGAGGAACACCAGUGGCGAAAGCGGCCACCUGGACUGCACCUGACGCUGACACGCGAAAGCUAGGGGAGCGAACGGG
rnacentral:rRNA from 1 species